GAUCUGGCUCAGGAUGAACGCUAGCUACAGGCUUAACACAUGCAAGUCGAGGGGCAGCAUGGUCUUAGCUUGCUAAGGCCGAUGGCGACCGGCGCACGGGUGAGUAACGCGUAUCCAACCUGCCUUACACUCUUGGACAGCCUUCUGAGAGGGAGAUUAAUACAAGAUGUUAUCAUGAGUAAGCAUUUUCACAUGAUUAAAGGUUUACCGGUGUAAGAUGGGGAUGCG
rnacentral:rRNA from 1 species